rnacentral:misc_RNA from 1 species
GAUGAAGAACGUAGCGAAAUGCGAUAAUUAAUGUGAAUUGCAGAAUUCCGUGAAUCAUCGAGUCUUUGAACGCACAUUGCGCCUCAUGGCAUUCCGUGAGGCAUGCCCAUCUCAGCGUUAGAAAAUAUUCUCAAAUUUUAGUUUUGUGCUAAAAUUUGGAUCAUGUCAAAGAAGCUAUUACUAUUAUUGUGAUCGCUCUUUGGAAAUUGAUAGGUCUUUGAGUUGCUACUCAUAGAACGUGAUGAAUCUUUCUUCGUUCUAUUGUAAUUCACUCUGGUAGUCCUAAAACUUGUAUGCCUGUAGCAUAUCUUGUAAUUUGACCUGAGAUUGGGUAGGGAUACCCGCUGAACUUAAGCAUAUCAAUAAGCGGAGGA